AGUCCCAAGACUUUUAGUCUUCAAUAAAUUGGGAGGCUGCCAGGGAGAGAAGCUCAGCGAUUAAGAAAUGUGGAACAGACAGAAGUGAAAGUUGGGCCACCAGGAAAAGUGACAAGAUUGAACUAGACAGAAACUGCUACGGACCUGGUGCCCACAGCUGGGAUGUUGCCAAAGUCGGGUUCAAGAAUAAGCUGUUGAUUCUCAAACUUUAUGCAUGGGAACCCUCCUAUAAAAAGAUUACUGAAAUUCAAGAACAGGAAUUGGAAGUUCAAGAAUCAGCUGGGUGUCUUGCUGUAUUUUGUAUGCUGGCAUUAACUUGCAUUCCAUUCUUGGGCUCUGUGGCUUACGUUUCCCAGCAGGCCUGGAUUCAGAAUUGCAUUUUGCAAGAAAACACUCCCUUUGGCUCCAUCACGCAGAAGCAUUUUUACGAGCGAGUAUUGGAAGCCUGUGUACUCCUUCCUGAUUUGGAGCCAUUACCAAAUGGAGAUCAAAUUGAGGUUGGAGAAAGAAUAAGGAAAAUAUAAUUCAUCACAUGCAGGAAUAAAAUUCCAUUCAGCUGUGCUAAUAAAAUAUUUAGAGCCUUUUUACUGACAUCUUGAAGAGCUCUACAACAAUAAUAUUUUUAAAAAAUCAUCAUAGACUUCCUGUGAAAGAGAUGGCAAAUUAAGGACAAAUAAUUAUUUAUGAUUGACUUUGGAAAACAUUAAAAAUCAGCAGGAAAUUCUGUUGCUAGAAUCAGUGUAGGAGGUUGAAAGCCCACCAGUUGGAUUAUCAACAUUUUGUUUCAGUUCCUGGCAGAAUGCUGUUGACUGUCUAAUGAGUGAAUAAUAGUUUCGUUUUUUCAUGUGUCUUUUGUGCACAAAGUGAAGCCUAUGACAGUAGCAACAGAGCACCAGUCUCCAGUGGUGGCACCAAGGCCAGGAUCUAAAGAGGUUCUGAUAUGAUGGUGCCAUUAAUGUACCUUCUCCAUGUUCGCUCAUUUCUGCUCAAGAGGAAGUUGUUUCCCAGCCAUCUUGUUCUUUGUUCUAUUUUAUUUUCAUUGAAUUAAUGGAUAAUC